rnacentral:rRNA from 1 species
UACGUAGGGUGCGAGCGUUAAUCGGAAUUACUGGGCGUAAAGCGUGCGCAGGCGGUUUUGUAAGUCAGAUGUGAAAUCCCCGGGCUUAACCUGGGAACUGCGUUUGAAACUACAAGGCUAGAGUGUGGCAGAGGGGGGUGGAAUUCCACGUGUAGCAGUGAAAUGCGUAGAGAUGUGGAGGAACACCGAUGGCGAAGGCAGCCCCCUGGGUCAAGACUGACGCUCAUGCACGAAAGCGUGGGGAGCAAACAGG